rnacentral:lncRNA from 1 species
AGAGAACGAGAGAACAAGAAAAUUUGUGAUCAAAUUGUUUGGUUUUACCAAAACUUAAUAUAGAGAAGAUUACAAGACUACAAGUUCCCGUGACACAUGAAUACACAAGACUACAAGCUUCACUACGAUGUUCAGAACAACGAUGUUCACAAACCACAUUUAACACUAACACUAACCAUAUAUCUAACACCAACCAGCAUCAAGACAUGUUCAUUUAAGAGUGAGCUGUAAGGGAGGGAACGAGCCUGGUGACAUGGUGAUCAACUUUUUAGUCGGAGGGAUUAUAGAAUCAUCAUUGUCUCUCUUCUCUGCAGAAGAAACCUGCGGCUUGCUCCUUGAGAACUUCCUCUUAUUACCUUCAUCGAUAACCCCUAAAGCAUGCUCUCUAACCUGAGGCAUGAACUGCUGUAUUGAACCUUGAUCUAUCAUUGUGACCCUAAGUUGAAACCCAUCAAACAAACAAAAAACAGAGAGAUUAUCUAUAAAGCAUACACCUAGUUUCUAACCUCAUAUAGGAGCAUCAAGUAGGGGUGUUCAAUCCGGAUAUCGGUUCGGUUUCGGUUCGGUUUUUUCGGUUUUUCGGUAUUUCGGUUAGUAAAAUAUAACUACCAUUCUAAAUCCAUAUUUACUUCGGUUCGGUUCGGUUUAUAUACCGUCGGUAUUCGGUUUAUUCGGUUUUAUACCAAAAAACAUAAUUCUUUAUUUUGGGAUCAUAUUAUAUGAAUUUUAGAGUCUUGUUGUCAACACAUUCAUUUAUUAAAAAAUAUUAUAAGUUUAAAUAAAAGAACAAAAAUAAAAAAUGUUUCUAUCAUCUAAUAAAAUAAUCAAAUCUAUAAUUAAAAUCAAAGCUCAAAAUUUUGAUAAUAAAAAUAAAAAAUAAAAAAUAAAACAGAAGCACGAAGCACAAAAAAUAAGUUAUUAUAUUCUUUCAUAUUUAGCGUUCAUCAAAGUCAUGUUUCUUCUAUUAAACACGAAACUCUAUUCGUUUAUAGAUAAAAAAAAUUGUGAAGAAUUUCCACUAAUUGUUAUCAUCAAAUUUAUAAUCUUUAUUUCAAUUUAGUCAAUGCUAAAUUAAAGCAAAAAGAUCAAAAGAAGACUAAGAAAAUAAGAAGCAUGUUUGCGAUGAAUUGUUAUUUAAUUAUAGUUCAAGUGUUUUACAAAUCAGAACUAUUUUAUUACUGUAAAAAAUAUGGUAAUAGUUAUUAGCAAAAAAAUUAACUUAUGAUUUUCAUACGUUGUUAUAAAAUAUAUACAUAUUUACAUGUUUCUAUUUUUAGAUCGGUUUUAUUCGGUUUAUUCGGUUUUAUCGGUUAUAUACCGAACCAUAUCCAAAUCCUACGGUUUUUUAAAAAUCAAAUCCAUUCGGUUUGUAUGGUAUAUACCAAAUCCAAACCAUAUUAUCUAUUUCGGUUCGGUUCGGUACGGUUCGGUUUUGCCAUAUUGAACAGCCCUAGCUUCAAGUGUCAGCUAUACCUUUCAGGAGUCGAUCUUGAACUCUUUCUCUGUCCUGAAACAACCAGAAAAACCUCAAAAUCACAUAAACUUAAAACACUAACAGAGAACAAUGGACUUUCACUUAAUCGAGUACCUCUGCGCCAUCUUGCUUCUCGAUUCAUGUAUGUGAAUUACAGACAGUGACACUCAUGACAUCCUGGCCUAUGUCUCCAUUGCAAAGCUCCGUCACCGACGCAAUCCAUCUCUGAGAUGAGGCCCCUAGAUGCUUCUGGUACCAUAGUAUAGCGACAUGAAUAGCUGAAAUCCAGAUAACAUUACAAAAUUUAAAAAACAGAUGCAUACCAGGAGAUGAAAACUGAAAGCUGCAGGAAGGGUACAAAACACACAUAUAAUAGAAGCCACAAUCAUAGGCAUAACCUUCACUCGAAGUCAACGAAGGGUCAGAGAAUAAGAAUCAAACACGUUUCAGAAACCAAAUCAAAGCAUAAAAACAAUGACUUUGAAGUUUAUAUUUCUU